rnacentral:rRNA from 1 species
CAAGCGGUGGAGCAUGUGGUUUAAUUCAAUGCAACGCGAAAAACCUUACCUGGUCUUGACAUCCACGGAAGUUUUCAAAAAUGAGAAUGUGCCUUCGGGAACCGUGAGACAAGUGCUGCAUGGCUGUCGUCAUCUCGUGUUGUGAAAUGUUGGGUUAAGUCCCGCAACGAGCGCAACCCUUAUCCUUUGUUGCCAGCGGUCCGGCCGGGAACUCAAAGGAGACUGCCAGUGAUAAACUGGAGGAAGGUGGGGAUGACGUCAAGUCAUCAUGGCCCUUACUACCAGGGCUACACACGUGCUACAAUGGCGCAUACAAAGAGAAGCAACCUCGAGAGAGCAACCGGACCUCAUAAAGUGCGUCGUACUCCGGAUAGGAGUCUGCAACUCUACUCCAUGAAAUCGGAAUCUCUAUUAAUCGUGGAUAACAAUGCCACGGUGAAUACAUUCCCGGGCCUUGUACACACC